UUUAUCCCACCUCCAGUGCCAAAGAAGCCUUACCCAGUUUGCCACUCUCCACUGCCACCGCCACCAUCACACAAUAAGCCAUACAAAUAUCCAUCUCUGCCACCUCCUAAGCCAUUCAAAUACCAUUCCCUCCUCCACCACUCUCUUCGUCUUAUCCACACAACUCACCUCCCUCCUCUCCCACACUUCCACUUUGAAUCAACUCCUCCACCUAAUUUUAUUUUCUUGAAGUAACGUAUCUUUAAUUAAUUUUGUCUGAGUCUUGUUUGGUUUGGGAGGAAAUAAAAACAGAGGGAAGGAAAGAAUGUUAAUUAAGAAUUGGGGUUUGAUUUUAGCGGCGAAACCAAAAUACGUGCCUCUAGUGUCAUACCUCCCUCGAGAGAACCCAAACCCAACGGUGUGGAUUGGAAGAGCAAAGGCCGAAAUGGAAAACGCCACCGUAGAUCUUAAGCCACAUGGAGAAGAUUGAAAGUCGUGGCUUGCACCUCAUUUUGUUCCCACCAAAAUAGGAAAUAAAAACAAAAUACUAUCAGAGACAAAAAAUAGUAAAAAAAUUCCCACUAUUGUCAUUGCAGAAAGGCACAGAAACACUUAUCAGAAGACGUAAGUUUCAUUAUAACCAACUUCUUCAACUUUGUUUGCUGAAGAUCUUGUCCUUCAUCAAUACUCGGAUCUUUAACAAAUACCCUUUUGCUUUUUACAAGCGUUAACGAUGGUUUCAGCUACCAACUAAAGACGAACAAAUUUUGGAGAACUUGCAAGUGCUUCAAAAUUCAAGUUAUGGAGGUUAUUCGUAUGUUUUGGAAGAGGAGCAAAAGUAUCAAGGAGUCGAAACUUAAGAGGGACAACAAAAGCACCAGAGAAGAAGGUCGAAGAAGGCGCAUGGUGCCUGGUUGCCCUUUCAGGGGCGUUGAGGGCCAGCGUAGGGCGCCCGGUUGCCCUUUUCUGAGGCCCUCAGCGCCACUCAGCACCGCAGCACGUCUGGGCGCCCUUCCAAGGGCGCUGAGCGCUAGUUCUCUCGCAGUUUCGCCCAGUUGCCCUAGGUACGACUGCUGAGUGGCAAUAUUAUUGGGCUUGGACUUUAUUUUUUAUCUAUUUAAGGACAUGCAUGACCUAGGGUUGGUAUCUCUUAAUGGCUUGAGCACAGAAACACAGGUUUUGCCCCUUUUGAGGCAAAUUUGGGGAUGCGGGAGCUUGAUAACUCUCUAUAUUUGCAUAUUUUUCUGUGUUUAGAAGUCUUUCUUAGCUUCUUUUAGUUUUUAAUUGGGUAGAAUUAGGCUAGUUUUUACAAGUUGGGGGGUGUUGCUCCCUCCACCACCACCGUAUACUUCUUCCACCUCCCCACAUUAUUUUAAAUACAAUUAUAUCCUUAAGUUAAAAAGAUUUUUACUUUUACCCUAUUUUAAAUAAUUUGAAACCCUAAUUUUACUUUCCUAGCACCCACCCACGGAACUCUCUUCCCCUUUCCCCAUU